rnacentral:rRNA from 1 species
GGAUAACCGUGGUAAUUCUAGAGCUAAUACAUGCUGAAAAUCCCGACUUCGGAAGGGAGGUAUUUAUUAGAUUAAAAACCAAUGCCCUCUGGGCUCCUUGGUGAUUCAUAAUAACUUUUCGAAUCGCACGGCCUUGCGCCGGCGAUGGUUCAUUCAAAUUUCUUCCCUAUCAACUUUCGAUGUUUGGGUAUUGGCCAAACAUGGUCGCAACGGGUAACGGAGGGUUAGGGCUCGACCCCGGAGAAGGAGCCUGAGAAACGGCUACUACAUCCAAGGAAGGCAGCAGGCGCGCAAAUUACCCAAUCCCGAUUCGGGGAGGUAGUGACAAUAAAUACUGAUACAGGGCUCUUUUGGGUCUUGUAAUUGGAAUGAGUACAAUUUAAAUCUCUUAACGAGGAACAAUUGGAGGGCAAGUCUGGUGCCAGCAGCCGCGGUAAUUCCAGCUCCAAUAGCGUAUAUUAAAGUUGUUGUGGUUAAAAAGCUCGUAGUUGAACCUUGGGCCUGGCUGGCCGGUCCGCCUCACCGCGUGUACUGGUCCGGCCGGGCCUUUCCCUCUGUGGAACCUCAUGCCCUUCACUGGGUGUGGCGGGGAAACAGGACUUUUACUUUGAAAAAAUUAGAGUGCUCCAGGCAGGCCUAUGCUCGAAUACAUUAGCAUGGAAUAAUAAAAUAGGACGCGUGGUUCUAUUUUGUUGGUUUCUAGGACCGCCGUAAUGAUUAAUAGGGACAGUCGGGGGCAUCAGUAUUCAAUUGUCAGAGGUGAAAUUCUUAGAUUUAUUGAAGACUAACUACUGCGAAAGCAUUUGCCAAGGAUGUUUUCAUUAAUCAGGAACGAAAGUUAGGGGAUCGAAGACGAUCAGAUACCGUCGUAGUCUUAACCAUAAACUAUGCCGACUAGGGAUCGGACGAUGUUAUUUUUUGACGCGUUCGGCACCUUACGAGAAAUCAAAGUGCUUGGGCUCCAGGGGGAGUAUGGUCGCAAGGCUGAAACUUAAAGAAAUUGACGGAAGGGCACCACCAGGGGUAAACGCUUAUGCAGCCGCAGCAGCUCUGCUCCAAAAAGCAGCCCGAAAGGGUCAGUGGUGUUCCUGUCCGCGCUACGGCGCGGCGAACUAAGUGCUAGUCUCUCCGGAGGCGACACCCUCAAAUUGCGGGAAACUUCUAAAACCAGUGCCACCAAGCCGGCGUCGAAAAGGCGUCGGUGGCCGGGGCAAUGACCUAGGGUAUGGUAAAAGCGCACUGGAUAUAUGGACAAUCCGCAGCCAAGCCUCGUCACGGGGAAGGUUCAGAGACUAAAUGGGGGUGGGUAGUGUGCUGGAGGAUUCGUCCCCCGAGCGCUCGCUCACACACUGCUUAAGAUAUAGUCCGCCCGCGCUGGAAACGGCGCGGAUUAGCAAGCUCAAAUAAACGGGAGCCUGCGGCUUAAUUUGACUCAACACGGGGAAACUCACCAGGUCCAGACACAAUGAGGAUUGACAGAUUGAGAGCUCUUUCUUGAUUUUGUGGGUGGUGGUGCA